AUCCUUGGCGAUGGCCAUACUUGCUACUUCUGGACUGAUCAUUGGAUCCAGGGACAGUGUGUGGCUCAGUUCGCGUCGGCGAUCCUUGCCCCCGUGCCCAAACAACACCGGAAGGCCCUCUCCAUGGCGGACGGCCCCAAUCUUUGCUCCUGGACCCAGGACAUCCAAGGGGCACUUGGACCCCUUGCAUCUCUUCAGUACUUGGAGCUCUGGCGUCGCAUCCGCGACAUCCCCCUCUCCUCCGCUCCUAACGCCAUCCGCUGGCGUUGGACGACCUCGGGCUUAUACUUUGCUAAGUCCUGCUAUGAUGCCCUCUUCCUUGGUUCCACCUCGUCGCCGCAUGCCAAGAUGAUCUGGAAAACGUGGGCUCCGCUAUGAUACAAGGUCUUUAUCUGGCUGGUCACCCUCAACCGUUGCUGGACCAUGGAGCGCCGCGCCCGCCAUGGACUUUCCCACAGCCCUACCUUCGUCCUCUGCGACCAGACCCUCGAGACGAUCGACCAUCUCCUGGUCGGCUGUCCGUUCUCCCGCGAGAUUUGUCACCGCGUGCUCUCGAGCUUCAGGCUUACAUCAGCGAUUCCGACAGCACAGGACAUGUUCAUUGACUGGUGGAGUGCCGCCACCCUCAACACCCCGCACUUGCUUCACGAGGGUUUUGCCUCCCUUGCCGUCCUUACUGCCUGGUGCAUUUGGAAGCACCGUAACUCUGUGUUCUUCAACUUCACCCGCCCAUCCACUAACCUGGUGACAUAA
rnacentral:rRNA from 1 species